AGUUAGUGCUGGUUGCAGCUACUGGCCCUUUGCGACGUCUUGAUAUCAGUUUGGGAUAAUAGCUGGACUCUGGGGAAUCCUCACUCACACUUGAGACAGGUCGGCCAGUUUGUCCAGACAGGAUGCCCUUCACGCUUGAAGGUACAAUAGCCGCAAGGGUUAAGAGGUGGGUCAGGGUGAGGAAAAAUCGUAUAAAAGGAAAGAAAUAUCGUAGAAAAGUCGACAGGGAUUAGUUGAGUGAUUGUCUCCGACGCGGCAACAACUGCCGUGCAUUAUUUGCCAUCAGCUGCACCAGGCUGCAUUCUUUGUCACGUUAUCAGUUCGCAAUCAUGGACUUAUUAAAGGAGAGAGAAAUGUGAAAGAUAUCAGUCGAGAUUUCCGACACGGCAACAACUGCAGCGCACUAUAUGUCACCAGCUGCAUUCUUCAUUGUAUUAUCAUUUCGCAAUCAUGGUAAACUAUGGCGUCGUGCUGCUGUUGGGUGUUGAAUCGUU
rnacentral:lncRNA from 1 species